CAAAGACAGGAGCGCACGCGAGCAGAUGGAAACCAUGGAAACGAGGAAACCUCAUCAACUGACAAACAGCAAAACUAGCGUCUCUCGCUGUUGUUUUCGCUUCUUUCAGAAAUGGUUUUGUGUCUUCGAAAAAGUCCGUUAGCAUCUCAACCGUUUUCAGAAUAGAUCAUCAUGCUGAUGGCCUGCUGCACCCCCUGUCCAAGACAACCUCCACGGCUAUGAACUCGACUAGUAAGCAAAACCUCAAACAUACUGUUCAAACGUUGGGGGUCUGUAGGUUUAUGCUUUUUAAUGAAGUCU